rnacentral:misc_RNA from 1 species
CAAUUUCAAAGAAAAUGAUGCAUGCCCAAUUCUACAAACAAUAACACCUAGCAGGAACUAGGAUAAAGGUGGAAAGAUUCUGCCAAAUUAGGGAUAGUGGCCCAUUUCCAUGUUCAGUGGUCUAGAAGACUGGCAUAAGAAAUGAAAUUACAAUUACACAAUUGAAAGACUCAUAUUCAUGAGGUACACUUAAUAAGUUUCAACCAUGGAAUCUCUGAGAUGUAAUAAUACGACAAUUCUCACAGCAUGAAUGCCUAAAACUAAUGAUCAUAAGAGUAAGUAAAAAUUACAUGAAUGAAACAAGAAUUGAGUCUCAUCCAGUUGGACUCCCUUUUCUCCACCAAUUUACAACUCUUACAACUUGCAUUUGCAUUUGACCUAGUAAAUUCUCUCUGCAGUAGAUACCGGGUGCAAGAAGAUGACAAACCACUGUAAUAUUAUCUUUGCUAACUCUCUCUGCAGCUUCUGUUGCCAAUCGCUUGGAGCACAUUCCAGGUUCUUUCACUGUGUCCCUGAUUAUGCUUAUAACCUCAGCAUUGCUCACGACAUCCCAAAGUCCAUCACUAGCCAUCACCAAAAAUUCAUCCUCUGCUGCUGACAGAGUGGUUUCAGUUAUCUCAGGUUCUGCAGUUACAGCAGGCUUCAAAUCGUCAUCACCAAUGGAGCGAGUGACAAAGUUGGAAUUCCAGAUAUUUGGUCCACAAAUCAAUUGGAAAGUUCACCAAAAUUAAGCGCCCAUUUCUUUCUUUUCUUCCCAAACACCCUGCAAUUGAGAACUAUUUAAUUUUAUGAAAAUAAAUUUUCACAACCAAAGGGAAUAGUAAAUACUGAUUAACUGUUGCUAGUCUACAAAUGGCAAUCAUAUACAAAGGAAUUACUGGUGAAUGAUCAGAGGAUGCAUAUCAUUAACAUUAUCAUACAAAUUUUAUUUCCAAUUUGAUACAAGGUUCUCCAUGAGGAAUCCACUAGAGAUGUGGGUAAAUGAAACUAGAGAAAUAAAGAAUUUGGUUAGAAGUAUAACACUAUAAUAGGAUAACAAAAAAAUCAUGAAAAUGAAGGAGUUAUGCACCAAUUAAAGGAACAAUUCCACAAGAGGUGCAGAAUUUAGCAAUUUGAAAUUUUUCUUAAGUUAGGUUUUCAUGCAUCAUGCAAUUAAAUUUAGCUAUUGAAAAAUUCAAUAUUUAGUCAUACUAAAUCAUGCUUUAAGUCUAAGAUAGACCUAAUUGCCAUUAGGAUAUAAUUUCCCCAAAUUAAAACCAAGCUAGGGUUUUGGAGAUUACAAACUCUCAAAGGCGCUGAAUCAAUCUAUUCCACCUUAAUACAGGUAGUGAAGACUUUCAAUUGCAAGUUCUCUAGCUUGUCCACAUAAGUACUUAGCCAAAGCAACCUUUGAACAACUACUAACUUUUCCAAUCUCUUCAAAAUACAGCAGCCAAGAAGAAUGAAGGAAGAGUAUGUUGUGUUCUUAUAGUUUUCUUAUUGGAAGUAAGGGAGAAACACUUUCUCUAAGGGUUAAUUCAAGAAAUCAACCACUUGAAUUCUUCAAUCUCUUCAAGGAUGAAGAUGGAACUAAAAGUGAGAAAGGACGACUAGAAUGGCCGGCACAAUGAGAGGGAAGAAGAAGAUUUAUUGUCUUCUUAUCCCUUUACAAAUAUCUCAAUUUUCCAAUUAAUGCAAUUAACAAAUGUUAAGCUUUGGAUGGUUAAUCCAAACUCUUGUCCCAAUCCAAUUGGUCCAUUUGUCACCAUUAAACAUUAAUCAAGAAAAUUAAUCAAGAUUAAUUAUGCCAUGAUUAAUUAAUUAAUCAUCAUUAAUUAAUUAAUCAAAGUUCCAUUGACCAAGUCAAAGUGUCAAACUUUGACUAUGUCAACAAGGUCAACAUUUGACAAAGUCAAAUUCUCCAAAUAUAAUCUUCAUCCUUUAACUAAUUUCCGAGUUUAUAUUUAAACCAUCUAAAUAUUAACUUGUAAACUUCCAUAGAUAAAUUUAGUUUCAAGUCAUGUCAGAGACUUUGCAAUCCAAUUACAAACUAAAUUUGUUAAUUCAAUUAAUCAACUAAACUCUUUAGCCAAUUAAUCAAACUAGCCGUGCCUUGGUCAAUAUUCUCUUAUGUGUGUGUGACUUAAGAGGUUCAUAACUAAUUGGCAAUGAGCUUGGAACCAUUCCAAAGUUAGAAUGAAAUCCAUAUUUUAUUCAAGUUCUCAUAAGUCAUAAUUGACAUCUAGCAUUAUGUAUUGUAACUACCCAAUUAGUAAUGAAUUAUAUCUCCAAUCCAUGAACCUUGAUCAUAAAUGCCAUACAAUAAAAUCUCUCCAUUACAAAAUCUCAAUUCUUGCUAGAGUUAUAGUUAAUGUCAAACUCCAAUUGCAUCGAAUAUUAUGUUCUCUUUUAAUU